UGCAGGCUGCAACCCGCCUGCAUGAAGUUGGAAUCGCUAGUAAUCGCGGAUCAGCAUGCCGCGGUGAAUACGUUCCCGGGCCUUGUACACACCGCCCGUCACACCAUGAGAGUCGGGAACACCCGAAGUCCGUAGUCUGACCGCAAGGGGACGCGGCCGAAGGUGGGUUCGAUAAUUGGGGUGAAGUCGUAACAAGGUACC
rnacentral:rRNA from 1 species